UAAAAUUCUAAAGGUCUACCAUCAAACUACUGUCCAAUUUUAUCUCCAAAAUUCAACCUAUGUUAUAAAUUCAAACAUGGCAAUCAAAACCACUGUCCAUUCAAAAUUUUCGCUCCAGUUUCAAAAUUCAAACCGUAUACAUAUAUAACCUAGGUUAUUCUGCCCCGACGUUCAAAAUUCAAACCAUAAAGUCAAUCCACAUCUCUCUCAAAUCCGGAGCUCACAAUUCAUUAUUCUCUUCAUACCCUAAAUUAGAACAAAAUUUGGUAGAGUAAAUGGAAGCUGAAGAAUUUGAUACUGUUUCGGAGUGUGUCAGAGGUUUGAGUGCGAGAAGAAGCAAAGACCCAGUGAAUAAAUACUCAAGAAUAACAACGAAAUUCGAUGAAGAUGUGAAGAAUUCAAGCUUUAGAAGCGCAGAGAUGAUAUUUGAUUCGAAAGGUGACAUCAUCGGAAAGAAUUAAUCUUUUGCUUAUGAUCUGAUUGUCUUGAAUCUAUUCAAGUACGGUUCAGUUCCUCGAUCAAAAGAUUCAAGUGUUCGAUGAGUGUUCAAGUAUGAUUCAUUGAUCCAGACGAUUCAUUGAUCUUCAUAGAGAUUCUCGAAGCAUAUGUGCGAUUUGGAUGAUUAGGCAUAAGCUAAUUGAGUAUGAUGCUUUGCUAUUGGAUAAGUUUCUAUAUAUUCUUCAAGAUUUACAUGGUGAAGAUCUUAAGGAAAUGGCAUAGAAGAAUUAUGUAUAUCAAGACGGAGUUGCAAGGAUAGUGUAUGCUCAGUCACUUGCUUCAGUAGACUUGAACUAGCGAGCAUCAAUGCAUAAGGAGUUGAAGCAUUGUCCAAUAUAAAGUGUUUUCAGCGUGAGCCCGUUCAACAGAGUCCUAAGAGUUGUAGAGUCGUUCACACAAAGCUUCUAGCUGGGCUAAGCUCUCCAUUCUUAAUUGAAGAAGGGACUUAUCUAAUUUAAGAAAGCUUACUGUUUUUUAGUUUAGUAUAUUAGACAUAUAAUUUUUCAUGUUCUAUGCAAAGCAGGUCUGAAGUUCAAUCAACAGAAGCUUUAUAAUAACAGGCAGCUGAAGAAUCUUUUGAAACUCCUCUAUUGAAGGAUCAGGAUUCAAAAGCUGAUAAGAAAAGCGAGAAUAAAGAAUUAAUUGCUUGGAUUUGAUUCUAUGAGCACCGUCUCCGGGGAUGCACAUAACAAUGCAGAGCUUCUAUCAUUUAGCUUAAAGAGUUUAUUGGCUGCAACAGGUUCAUUUUCAGUUAAAAGCAAGCUUGGAGAUGGUAGGUUUGGUUCUGUUUACAAGGUCUGAAGUUCAAUCAAAAGAAGCUUCAUCACAACAGGCAGCUGAAGAAUCUUUGGAAACUCCUCUAUUGAAGGAUCAGGAUUCAACAGCUGAUCAAGGGAAACAAGUGAAAUUAGGGUUCCUCACUUGUCUUGUGUCCAAAGGAAGAUCUUUGGCUUUUGAAAGAAUCUUAUUCUGUGCUACAAGAGGAAAUGUGUUUCUGAGGCAAUCUUUUGUCGAUGAAGUUGUUAUUGAUCCUAAUUCAGGAGAAAAGUUUAAGAAAAAUGUUUUUGUGGUUUUCUUUUCUGGAGAAAGAGCGAAGAGCAAAAUUCUUAAGAUAUGUGAAGCGUUUGAGGCAAAUCGCUAUCCUUUUGCUGAAGAUUUGGGCAAGCAAGCCCAAAUCGUACUUAAGGUAUCCGGGAAGCUAUCUGAGCUGAAAACAACAAUAGAUGCUGGACUAUUGCACCGUGCGAAUCUGUUGGAAACCAUAGGAAAACAAUACAAACAGUGGAGUGUUCUAUUAAUAAAGCUAAGCGGGGAUAGGGAGGUCCAGAGAACUAUGUUAGAACUACUUAAUCAGUUGGAUGGUUUCAGCAGUGAUGAGAGAAUUAAGGUGAUAACAACAACAAAUCGUGCUGAUAUUUUGGACCCUGCCCUCAUGCGUUCUGGACGAUUGGAUCGUAAGAUUGAGUUCCCUCAUCCUACUGAGGAAGCCAGGGCCCGGAUCAUGCAGCUUCAACUGAAAUCCUCAUGGGUAAUUUCGUCAUUCCGUAUCAAAGCUAAGCGAGAUCCUACCGUACUUCCUAAAGACAAGUCUCAGGCGAAGUGCAAACAGAAACUCUAAAUAUAGCAAAAUACGAUGAGCCGAUAGGAAAAAGAAUCUUACAAGUUAUAUCGCGUCAUCGGAUAUGCAAGCUGGUGAUGGGAAUUACAUUCUUAAAAUCAUCUUCAAUCUAUCUCUGUUCAGUGAGAGAGUUGGUUCCGUGAGAGAUGACACGGUUCAGUGAGAGAGUUGGAUCUUAGAAUUGAGAUGAGAGAGUUGGAUCUUAGAAUUGAGAUGAAUUGAUUUCAGAAAUUGAGAUGAAGAGAGAAGAAAGAUUGCAAUAUCUAUACACCUAUUUAUACUUUCUAUUAAAAUAUAUUAUGGAUGGUUUUCUAAGAAACGACCUGUGUUUGCACACCUCUUACCGCUAGUAAAUAUUAAUAUGAGAACUGGAAUGAGAACUAAAAUGAAAAGUGUUCUUAUCCUGUUCAUCAAUGUGUAUUACCGUCCACCUGGAUCGAUGUCAUCUCCCUUUUACCAGUUGGUGCUCAUUUCUCAACUACAUAAUCUUUUCAUACAUGUUUUCCUUUGCUUCUCUGCCCUACUGAUGCUACGGUGCGAGUUUUCCAGUGAACAUCCAUCGUUUGUCACCAGAUUCGUCGCUGGGUUAGAGGUGGUGUGAGGGUUUCUUUGCCAAGCUCGAUGCCCUUAAAGCUGGGUGGCGAUGGUGUGAUGGUGGCCAUUCAUUUGAUGGUAUGGUGGUGGCCGUGGGGUUGGGCCUUACUCCAAGGCGUUCUUGGUUAGCAGGUAACUCCACAAUCUAAUUAGCGUCAUAUUGUAUAACAAUCUCUGGUUUCCAAUCAUUUACUGUGUUAGCAUUUAAUAGCUGAUGAUGCUUUGAGUUCUGGUGUUUGUUUUGUUAUAAUUUCCCCAGAUUCCAAGCAAAACGGUACCGUUUUACCUUUUGGUUUUUAACCAAAACUCACCAAAUAGUUCUUACUACCUAUUUCAAGCAUGCAUACAUCAGUUACUAAAAUAGAAAUCUGGAUGAUAACUUACCACAAGUUUUUUAUCAACUAAUUUUUUUUUUCUGAAAUUGCGUUUAAUUUUGUUACAUCGUUACUUUGCUUUUAAAAUCUACAUGAAGAGUGCUAAGUUAUCUUGGUUAGUAAAAAGGUAUAGCGAAGAUUUCAUUUUCUUUGGCCUUUUUUGUGUAGUACUACAGUUGGAUGAUUACUUAUAACCACCAUCAACGAAUAAGAGGCUCACAUUUGAUGGGAUUGUGAAAGUCCCAAUUGGUGCAUACACAAAGUAUGGAAUCAUCAUCAUCAUCAUACUCAGUAAAUCCCACCAAUGGCAAAGCUAAGGUAGGGUCUGAGGAGGGUAAGAUGUAGACAGCCUUACCUCUACCCCAUAGGAAUAGAGA